UGUUAUAUUCACGACAGUGUCAGUGUUAAACAAGGGUGUUAUCAGAUUUCACUCUGAGCGGUGUAAAUCAAGCCACGCCUCCACUAAACAUUUCCUGUCAGGGAUUUUACCGCCAUUUUCUUUCACAGGAGGACUGAAGAGAUCAGAUGCUAGUUUGGUGAAAGUUCACACUGAGUGCUUCAAAUCAUUCAGAAGAGAUGCUGUUUUUAGGGCAGUUUAUUAAAGAAGACCUGACAUGGAUGACUUCCAAUGAGAAACGACUGCUAAUACUUAUAUAAAUUCAUUACAGAAGGACCCUACCAGACUAUAUUUGAAUACGGCAUACCCAUGAAUUCUGGAACUGUUAUUCCUUAACCCAGUUUGGAGGAUAAGAGCUUACCAACUAGUUAUAAAUAUGCUGAGGUGAUGUAUUGCAAAAUAGCCAACAUACAACAAUAUGGAUGACCCUCUGUCUGGUCAACAGGAGUUUAAAUAUGGAUGGGACAGUGAUGUGGCAGCUCUUCCCUGGCUCAUUCACCUCUUGACUUUCAUUUGUGAAAGGAAGAAAGACUGGAGAGGGUCAAUGUGCAACUGAAGCUACUGAUUGUGCUAUGUGAUGAGCAUCAAUCCAUGCUUUGAGGUGGAUGAAUCAGCACAGCCCUGCCUGCACUGCGUUGGGAACAGAAGUUGCAUCCAGAAUUUUUGCAUCAUUCUGGACCAAAAAGCCAUUCCCUCCAUGAUGAAGACCACUGAUGCAGCCUUCCACUACAUCAUGAGUAAAACAACUACAGAACUAAAUACCAGGUUGGAACGUAUUUAAGAAAAAUGAAACGUCUUUUGAAUUGAAAUGUCUGUUUUGUUAUGGAAAAAUCUUUAGUAUUGUGAAGGAUAAGCAUUUCUGCCUGCCAGUAAGGUAAUUGCAGUGUAUUUUAAUGUUCAAGUUUUGAGUAGGGUGGCUAAUUUUUUUAACUCUCAUUUGAUUUAUUAAAGACCUUAUAAUAAGUGGUUUUCAUGUCACUGCGCUGUGGUAUAAGAUAACUUUCAUUAUUCCAUACUGUAUUCUGUAUUCUAAUUGUAGCUGAGGUAUUUAAAUAAGCAGUAUUAAAUGCAAAGUGUUGUGUGUAUCAAUGUAAAUAUUAAAUGUGAUGUACUUUAAUAAAAAGAGGUUUUGCAAUAUUUCUUGUCAUUUGUCUUUUAUAGAAACAACCCAUUAGCAACAAAAGUGGCUAUUAAUCAGUAUUUUAACACUUAACAUUGUUGAAUUCACAUUACACUGGUGUUGACCUUAAAUUAGGAGUGUUAAUUUUUAACACUGUAUUUCUGUGCCAACACCAGUGUAGUGUGGAAACAACAAUGAAUAGUGUUGAACAAAGUGUAAAAUUUAACAAUAUUGAGUGUUAAAUUAACAUAUAAUGAGUGUUGUUAAA